rnacentral:lncRNA from 10 species
CUGGCCAGGCGGGAGGGGCGGGGACGCAGCCGGAAGGCUGGAGGUUCCUGGAAGGUGAGGCUGGCUUGCCUUCUUGAUUUAUGUGGCCAAAGGGUAGCAGCCACCUCUGCAAAGGUCCAGUGAAGAGUCCCCUUUCCCCCAAGUAAUGCCGAGAAGAGAGAGGCAGGUGCAGCCAGCGAUGCGGCGGAGUCUCCGCAAGAGAGCGAGGGCCUGGCGUGGGGCGCACACGCACGCGCGUCUUGGGUCCCUGCAGAGAGGUGUCCCCAGUGCUGUGCCCUGUUCGGUGCCGGGAGCGGUGCCACGGGCCCGCCGCCGCCCUAGUAAGGUGUCGGGGCCUUUGCGCGCCUAGCGCCAUGGCCGCGUCGCCGCUCCUCCGCACCUCCCAGGCUCCACGAACACGGCCAGGCAUUUCCAAGUAGAGGGCAGAACCCUCUCCCCAUCUCCCCACUUAGCACCUGGGAGGCCCCGUGGAGGAGGCUAGGACCUCUGGGGGUUCCACACUCUGCUGGUGGUGCUGGCUCCUGGCGGGAGCUUCUGCCCUCACGGGGCGGCCUCCCGGUUCCGCUGUAGGAAAGCCCUGCCCGACGUCUCCUGGAAGGGCCCUCCAUGGCCUCUCCAAAUCCUUCCAACCCGAACAAUGGAAGGGAAGAAGGAAAGGAGGGGCUGAGGAAGGAAACAGACACUGACCAAAGCCCAGAGGUUGGAAACCAUGGCUCUUAAAAGCAGAGAUGAAGAGAAAAGAGUGAGUUCAAAAGACAGAGCAUGAGAAAGACCCCACCCGCUAUUACUGGCUUUGAAGAUGGAGAGAAGAGGCCACAAGCCAAGGAAUGCAGCAGCUUCCAGAAGCAUGAAAGAGCCCUUAGGUUACAGCCAGCAAGGGAAGGAAACUGCGACCCUACAGCCACAAGACUUGACUUCUGCCAACAGCCAGAAGGAGCAGGAAAUACGUUCUCCCUGAGAGCCUCCAGAAAGGAACACAGUCUGCCCACACCUUAAUUUUAGCCUGGGGAGGCCCAUACCAGGUCUCUGCUUUACAGAAUUGUAAGAUAAUAAAUUUGGAGUUUUUUUAAACUACUAAAUUUGUGGUCAUUUGUAAAGGCAGUAACAGAAAAACUAAAACACUUUACUAUCUAUACGUAGAUUUAACUGCUUUUUUUUUUUUUCUUUUUAAGAGAUGGUCUCACUCUGUUGCCCAAGUUGGAGUACAGAGGUGCAAUCAUAUCUCACUGCAGCCUUGAACUCCUGGGCUCAAGCCAUCCUCCCACCUCAGGCUCCUGGAUAACUGGGACUACAGGCACACCACCAUGCCUGGCUAAUUUUUUUUUUCUUUUUUUUUUUUAGAGAUGAGGUCUUGCUAUGUUGCCCAGCUGGUCUCAAAUUCCUAGCUUCAAAUGAUCCUCCCACCUUGGCCUCCCAAAGCUCUGGGAAUGAAGGCAUGAGCCACCAUGCCCAGUCUAGAUUUAACUUUUAAAUACAGUUCUAUUUUUAUAGGGGGGGAAAAUCCCAAAAUAGAAUAACAAGCAGGUUUUCUUUUACUCAGUUAACUAUUCCUAAGAGAAACCUUGAUAUUCUGGAUAUUUGAACCCUGAGACUAAUCCAGGCACCCUUUUCUCCUGGUAGCAGCUUGUGCAAUGAGGU